GACGUAGGGCGCAAGCGUUGUCCGGAUUUAUUGGGCGUAAAGAGCUCGUAGGCGGCUUGUUGCGUCGGCUGUGAAAGUCCGGGGCUCAACUCCGGAUCUGCGGUGGGUACGGGCAGACUAGAGUGAUGUAGGGGAGACUGGAAUUCCUGGUGUAGCGGUGAAAUGCGCAGAUAUCAGGAGGAACACCGAUGGCGAAGGCAGGUCUCUGGGCAUUAACUGACGCUGAGGAGCGAAAGCAUGGGGAGCGAACAGG
rnacentral:rRNA from 1 species